AUGGCUCAGGAUGAACGCUAGCUACAGGCUUAACACAUGCAAGUCGAGGGAAACGACAUCAAAAGCUUGCUUUUGAUGGGCGUCGACCGGCGCACGGGUGAGUAACGCGUAUCCAACCUGCCCACCACUUGGGGAUAACCUUGCGAAAGUAAGACUAAUACCCAAUGAUAUCUCUAGAAGACAUCUGAAAGAGAUUUAAAGAUUUUAUCGGUAGAGGAUGGGGAUGCGACUGAUUAGGUAGACGGCGGGGUAACGGCCCACCGUGCCGACGAUCAGUAGGGGUUCUGAGAGGAAGGUCCCCCACAUUGGAACUGAGACACGGUCCAAACUCCUACGGGAGGCAGCAGUGAGGAAUAUUGGUCAAUGGACGCAAGUCUGAACCAGCCAAGUAGCGUGCAGGAUGACGGCCCUAUGGGUUGUAAACUGCUUUUAUGCGGGGAUAAAGUGUGGGACGUGUCCCAUAUUGUAGGUACCGCAUGAAUAAGGACCGGCUAAUUCCGUG
rnacentral:rRNA from 1 species